ACUGUAAGGACCCUUUGCCCUUCUUUCCCAAUCAGUGGUCAGAAGUGAAAGUCACUGGCUCUUAGUGAUUCAACUUGAGAGCUGGCUUGGCCAGUGGUCCAGGGAAGAGGGUUUAACCACACACCUAAAUGAAUGGGUUUGAUCAAUAAUUAAAUGAGCUGUUUCUGGCAUGAUUGUGAUGGUGAAGCCGUGGUCACGCCGCCCGGUGAAGGAGGCAGUUAGGAGCGGUUUUGCUUGUUCAUGCUGGGUUCAAAAGGGCUUCAGGGAGUCCGAAACUGAGCCAGACAGAAUAAAAAUAAUUUUUAAAGAAGGAAACCAGCCCUACUGAGAGGUAAUGGUGAGAGACUAUAAAGUGUUGCUAAGGGUUGGUUUCUAAACCUCCUUCUCAUAGUUGGGAGUUGCCAAACUUAUAAACUUGAGUCCACCUCCCACAAAAGAGACUGAAACUGCCAGGCACUUGCCUCCUGGCCCUUCCUGGCAUUUACGGGACCUGAUGGAGACUCUAUCCUUGUGUGCACGAACUUCAGACUCUACUAGAAGUUAAAGACCCAAGAAACAGGCAUCACCAAGAAUCCACCUGCCAGUAGGCGGGACAACAACACUGAGUUUCUAGAAGCAUCUGGGGCAGCAGUCCAAGAAACCUCACAAGCACACAGGUGGUUUCAGCACUUUUUGAAUCUGAGGCAAAACACCCCAAUGGACAAAGGGAGCAACUGGAUGGAAUAUGCUCCUGGCGAAGCUCCUACAGGUACAAGUGAUGGACACAGAGGAGGAAAUGCGUCUUAAUUGGUAGCAUGAAAAACAUUUCCCAGGUGCUCCACUGGGUUGUAAGUGCCAUCUGUCCUGCCACAGAGGAUUAGAGGGAAGAACACCUUGCUCUGGGUUCUGGGAAUGGUGUAGGCAUCGAGGCUCCUCGGUCCAUGGGAUUUCCCAGGCAAGAAUACUGGAGGGGGUCGCCACUUCCUUCUCCAGGGGAUCUUCCUGACCCAGGGAUGGAACACGAGUCUCUUUCCUCUCCUGCACUGGCAGCGGAUUUCCCACCCCUGCGCCACCUGGGAAGCCCUCUGGGUCAAUAUACUCCGUGUUAUUUGAUGCCUGAUUUUUCAAGGGAAUGAGAAAUAAAGUUUACUUCUUCAUUCUG